AGUAACACGUGGGUAACCUACCUAUAAGACUGGGAUAACUCCGGGAAACCCGGGGCUAAUACCCGGAUAANAUUUUGAACCGCAUGGUUCAAUAGUGAAAGACGGUUUCGGCUGUCACUUAUAGAUGGACCCGCGCCGUAUUAGCUAGUUGGUAAGGUAACGGCUUACCAAGGCGACGAUACGUAGCCGACCUGAGAGGGUGAUCGGCCACACUGGAACUGAGACACGGUCCAGACUCCUACGGGAGGCAGCAGGC
rnacentral:rRNA from 1 species